rnacentral:ribozyme from 1 species
AGGGUAAGAGUCGCACCUGGCGGCAAGUCGAGUGUGCAGCUUGGGGGUCCGCACUUGGAGAAAGACAAAACAAGGAAGAAAAAAAAGGUUUUCCCAGUUGCUCAGGGCAAGCCCAUCGCGACUCUGACACCUAGAGAGAUGGCAGCUAAGGA